rnacentral:rRNA from 1 species
AAAUUGAAGAGUUUGAUCAUGGCUCAGAUUGAACGCUGGCGGCAGGCCUAACACAUGCAAGUCGAGCGGUAGCACAGAGAGCUUGCUCUCGGGUGACGAGCGGCGGACGGGUGAGUAAUGUCUGGGAAACUGCCUGAUGGAGGGGGAUAACU